CAGGAGAAUCACUUGGACCUGGGAGGUGGAGGUUGCAGUGACCCAAAAUCAUGCACUCUAGCCUGGGGUCUCGCUUUUGCCCAGGUUAGAGUGCAGUGGCACAAUCAUAGUGGCUCACUGCAGCCUCAAACUCCUGGGCUGAAGGGAAUCCUCCCACCUCAGCCUCCCAAGUAGCUAGGACUAUAGGCAUGUGCCAUCAUGGCGAGUUAAUUUUUUGUGUGU
rnacentral:lncRNA from 1 species